CACGCCGUAAACGAUGGGUACUAGGCGUCGGGGGGAGCGACCCUCCCGGUGCCGUCGCUAACGCAGUAAGUACCCCGCCUGGGGAGUACGGUCGCAAGACUGAAACUCAAAGGAAUUGACGGGGGCCCGCACAAGCGGUGGAGCAUGUGGUUUAAUUCGAAGCAACGCGAAGAACCUUACCUGGGCUUGACAUGCACGGGAAAGCCGGUGGAAACAUCGGUCCCUCUUCGGAGUCCGUGCACAGGUGC
rnacentral:rRNA from 1 species